rnacentral:rRNA from 1 species
UCGUGUGGUAUACGAUGUACGUGAAACUUGUUUCGUGUGUACGUUAUCACUGCGUUAUGUCUGAAAUUGUCGGCGUGCACUUCUCCCCUAGUAGGACGUCGCGACCCGUUGGGUGCUGGUCUACGGCCCGGUAGGUCGUCUGACGCGUUUACAAUCAACCGUUUACGUGUCAGACCUCUGGAUGCCCGACCGGCUGCCCGGCGGUAUAGAACGAUAAUUAACGGUAUUGAGCCGCAUUAAGUGCGUUCAGGCUUGUCGGCAGGCUCGCCUCGCUCGGAUUUACGGACCUAGCGCCGUUGCCGGGUGCUUGGUGUGGCUGUGGCC